UAACUUUUCUUUUAAUUUAACAAGGGCACAAUCUUGGUCAUUGACAUUGUUCCCGUCACAAAAUUAUUUGCCUAGAUUCAUUCGUUUGAAAAUUUCAGCCAUUUUUAUGUCAAAAAUGGCCAUUUUUCCUUGGGCUUUAAUUGAGCCGGUAACCCACAUGGCCCUUGGCACUCUAGUUUUAUUUGUUACACUUUGUAAC